GCCUGGUGGAUUAAUGGUUAGUACUUUCGCCUCACACCUCCAGAGUCCGAGGUUCGAUUCCCGCCGGGGCC